UACGAAGGGGGCUAGCGUUGCUCGGAAUGACUGGGCGUAAAGGGCGCGUAGGCGGCAAUUCAAGUCAUCUGUGAAAUCUCCGAGCUUAACUCGGAACGGUCAGAUGAUACUGUUUUGCUAGAGUACAGAAGGGGCAAUCGGAAUUCUUGGUGUAGCGGUGAAAUGCGUAGAUAUCAAGAGGAACACCUGAGGUGAAGACGGGUUGCUGGGCUGAUACUGACGCUGAGGCGCGAAAGCUAGGGUAGCAAACGGG
rnacentral:rRNA from 1 species